CGGCAACAGCUCAAAUUUGAAAUCUGGCGCAAGCCCGAGUUGUAAUUUGUAGAGGAUGCUUCUGGGUAGCGACCGAUCUAAGUUCCUUGGAACAGGACGUCAUAGAGGGUGAGAAUCCCGUAUGUGACCGGCCCGCACCCUUUACGUAGCUCCUUCGACGAGUCGAGUUGUUUGGGAAUGCAGCUCUAAAUGGGAGGUAAAUUUCUUCUAAAGCUAAAUACCGGCCAGAGACCGAUAGCGCACAAGUAGAGUGAUCGAAAGAUGAAAAGUACUUUGGAAAGAGAGUUAAAAAGCACGUGAAAUUGUUGAAAGGGAAGCGCCUGCAACCAGACUUCGCGGCAGUGUUCCGCCGGUCUUCUGACCGGUUCAUUCUCUGUCGCGAGGCCAUCAUCGUCUGGGCCCGCCGGAUAAGACCUGAGGAAUGUGGCUCCCCCUCGGGGGAGUGUUAUAGCCUCUGGUGAUGCGGCGUGGCUCGGGCGAGGUCCGCGCUUCGGCAAGGAUGAUGGCGUAAUGGUUGUCGGCGGCCCGUCUUGAAACACGGACCAAGGAGUCUAACAUCUAUGCGAGUGUUCGGGUGUCAAACCCCUACGCGUAAUGAAAGUGAACGGAGGUGGGAACCGCAAGGUGCACCAUCGACCGAUCCUGAUGUCCUCGGAUGGAUUUGAGUAAGAGCAUAGCUGUUGGGACCCGAAAGAUGGUGAACUAUGCCUGAAUAGGGUGAAGCCAGAGGAAACUCUGG
rnacentral:rRNA from 7 species